rnacentral:rRNA from 1 species
UAUCUCUGUAGAGUCUGCAUAUCAAUAAGCGGAGGAAAAGAAACUAACAAGGAUCCCCCUAGUAACGGCGAGUGAAGCGGGAAGAGCUCAAAUUUGAAAUCUUCAAGGUUUGACCUUGACGAAUUGUAGUUUAAAGAAGUGUUUUCGGUUAGAGGAGUAGUAAAAGUUCUUUGGAAUAGGACAUCAUAGAGGGUGAGAAUCCCGUAUUUGACUAUUCUUUCUAGCUUUGUGAUACACUUUCAAAGAGUCGGAUUGUUUGGGAAUGCAGUCCAAAAUGGGUGGUAAAUUUCAUCUAAAGCUAAAUAUUGGCGAGAGACCGAUAGCGAACAAGUACCGUGAGGGAAAGAUGAAAAGAACUUUGAAAAGAGAGUUAAACAGUACGUGAAAUUGUCAAAAGGGAAGCGUUUGACACCAGUGUUGUUUUUCCGAAAAUCAAUUAAAAAUUGAUUCAUGCCAGGUUGUAUUGACCUUAUCAGCUUGCAAUUUGGUUUUGGGUCUCUUUUUGAUGCACUUUUCGGUUAACAAGUCAACAUCAAUUUCCUUUGCUGUAAAAAGGUAAGAGGAAGGUGGCUUCAAUUUCGGUUGAAGUGUUUAUAGCCUUUUAUCUCUGCAGUCGGGGAGAUUGAGGUCUGCAGCGUAGAUCCUUCGGGGCUAGAUACAUUUAUGCUAAGUUAUAGCUUUUCAUAGACAACUUGUUGACUAUGUUUAGUCAUGUAGCUUACUCGUAAGUGCUAUCUUACCUACGCUUAGGAUGUUGAGCGCAUGUCCUCUCUCU